rnacentral:snoRNA from 1 species
AACCCAUGAUGAGGACACCUUUUCAAAAGAUCCUUAACUCUCUCCCAUGUAUUAUAUAGUGUCUCAAGCUCAUAUUGAGAAAAAGAAGAGAUAUUAUUCCUCAACUU